rnacentral:rRNA from 1 species
AUGUGCAAUGCCAAGGCCUGCAUGCUAGUGUAUGGCGAGGGCGAGGGGGUACCAGAGGUGUUCCCGUCCCAUGCUGAGGCGGUGGCUAUCCUCACUCAGUACAAGAAUAUGCCGGAAGGGAAGUUCAAAAAGACGGUGAAUCAAGAAGGCUUUCUCAGCCAACACUUUGACAAGCUCCACGCCAAGGGCCAAAAGUUCCAGGGCGUCUGUGAAGACAACGAGACCAGAGUCCUCCUGCACAAGGCCAUGAGCAACCUCUCGAGCCUCGACGGCCUCAAUGUCGAGGAUCUCACCAAUGUUGGCCGAAAGCUGGAGCCCCAGGAGCCAUAUGUCACCAACAAAAUGGACAUGGGGUCUCCAACAAUGUAUCACGCACCACCUCCAGCUCCAUACGUCAUAGACUACAUGCACAUGGAGUCUCCAUCGACUUACCAGGCACCACCACCACCUCCAUACAUCACUCACAACAUGGACAUAGGGACUUCAACGAUGUAUCAGGCGCCAUCCCCAGCUCCCUAUGUCACUGAUGGCAUGGACAUGGGGCCUCCGAUGAUGUUAAGGCCACAUGGCAGCAAGAGGAUUCACUUGGCAUGA